UCUCACAAAAUAUCAACCAGUGACCAUAUCUUCAACAGAGAAGGGUGGGAGUGCCUACUGAAAUGGCAGCACACAGAAGGGACCACUCCUGUCUCUGAGUGGGGGAGGGCAUCAGAAUCUUCUAAGAAAUGUCCUAGAAGAAGCAUCAUUUAUGUUAAGUCUUGAAGGAUGAAAGGAAUUCUUGCCGAUGGAGAAAGAGGCUUUGCCUUUAGAAGCUGGGGAAUCGGAGUAAUUGAGACCUUAUAAUCCCUUCCUGCAUCCCAAGGUGAAAGCCCCGGAGAGCAGAUUACAGGACUUCCAACAUUUUAAAGAUCUUAGAUCUGAUAUCAUCGAGGAAAGAAUUGGAAAACUAGGGUAACUGCUUGAUUGAUAUACAUAAGGCCAACUGGGUAAAACCAUCGCCCAGAAACUGCAUUUCCAGCGUGGUCUCCAGUGGUAUUUGGCGCAGGGAUUAUUCAGUGCAAUGGAUGAAGCUUGUUGAUUACUAUUUAGCAGAAUGGCAUGGUGAUCUACGUUUGUUUGCCUGAUACAGUAAAUACCAACCGUUCUUUCAUUGCUAUUAUCAAAAAGCCCCAGAGGUUGUGGUUAUUGGCAGUUCUAUUCCAGUUAUGCACAUUGCAUGAAAAAUGCUUUCCACGUUUGAAUAAAGUGAGGUUUAGGUGAUGUGAGUGGUGGUCAUGGCUUAUAUUUGGCACUACCAAAUGCUACCCUCUUUAGGUAUAUAAUCCCACUACUCGAUGCAUGAGAUGUAUAUUUAUUUAAGACAAGAAAUAUGAUGAUGAUAAUAUAGGGCUUAGGGCUUUUCCUUUUUAGCACCUUAUAUCAAAUAUUUGCUGAUCAAUACAAUUCAGGUACAUACUGAAUAUUUAUUCUAUAUUUCUUGCUUCUUAAUUGUAAUUGUAUAAAGUUCAGUACUGCCCAUUUACUGGAGGAACUAAUGAAUUUUUGUAAAAAUAGUUCACUAUGAAACUUGAGGUUUAUUUUGGAGUCUAGACUAGUUCUUUUUGCACUUGUACACAUAAUAGAAAAACUACCAAACAAGAGUUAAAUAUUUCCUAACAAUACUAAGCUCAGAAAAGAGCUUACAUAGCACUUUUUCUGCUUGCUUUACAUUUAUAUUUGUGUCACAAUACAAAUAGGGCUUUUACAGUCUAAGAUUAAUGCUAUGGUUUUCUGUGUUCAUUCUAUAUCAUCCAAACUGCAGUUGGACCAAACAACAACAAAAAAUAAUCAACCAAAUGCUGAACAACUCAUUGUGAAAAUAUUCAUGGAUGCUCCCAGUCAAUACCAGAAAAAAAAGAAAGUCCCAGAAUAUACGCAUAAGUCACCAUUUUUAUUUUGGUAAAACUUCAGGGAACUGUUGUGAUGAUUCUCUAUAAAUAAUCUAUGGACAGCUCUGUCAGAGAUUAGCUCCAGGCAGCUAGUUUUUAUGGAACACUUUUAUCAUCAUCAUUAGUAGUAGUGGUAAUGUAAUUAAUAAUAUUAGCACCUGAAUCUAAAGUCAAGGAGAUCAUCCAUUUGAUAUGGGAGAGGGCUGUUUUUCAGUUUACAUCUAAAGUUUUCCACUGGUUCUGAAACAGCUGAUUAAAAAGUAAUGAAAACUAAUAACCUAAUUGCUCUGCCUCCAAGUAUCAUCAUUGGCUUAGCACACACAACCAGUAGUGGGAGAUUAAAUGGCAGGCUCAAGGUCUGUUUAAUCUAACUACUGCUAAUCUUUACUUGUCAGAUGUAAUUUGCUCUAUGGCAACUCUGCUCAGAAAACCACCUCUUUUGGAAGUAAAAUGUCUACUGGUGUUAACACAGGUCUCCUUUUUAAAUAGAAACAACUGUGGUACAGAAAACAAGAAUGAUUUUAGGUUUAAGAAAGUAGAGUUCAUGAAUCCUUUAACCAUGUCGAUAGGAGUAAAUGUUUCCAAUGCAGAGCAAUAAAGGCAAAAGUCAAGAAAUAAAUUGCAUAUCGUUAUA